AUUGAACGCUGGCGGCAUGCUUUACACAUGCAAGUCGAACGGUAACAGGCCGCAAGGUGCUGACGAGUGGCGAACGGGUGAGUAAUGCAUCGGAACGUGCCCAGUCGUGGGGGAUAACGCAGCGAAAGCUGCGCUAAUACCGCAUACGAUCUCUGGAUGAAAGCGGGGGACCGAAAGGCCUCGCGCGAUUGGAGCGGCCGAUGUCAGAUUAGGUAGUUGGUGGGGUAAAGGCCCACCAAGCCAACGAUCUGUAGCUGGUCUGAGAGGACGACCAGCCACACUGGGACUGGGACACGGCCCAGACUCCUACGGGAGGCAGCAGUGGGGAAUUUUGGACAAUGGGCGCAAGCCUGAUCCAGCAAUGCCGCGUGCAGGAAGAAGGCCUUCGGGUUGUAAACUGCUUUUGUACGGAACGAAACGGUCCGGGCUAAUACCCUGGGCUAAUGACGGUACCGUAAGAAUAAGCACCGGCUAACUACGUGCCAGCAGCCGCAGUAAUAC
rnacentral:rRNA from 1 species